rnacentral:rRNA from 1 species
AUUGAACGCUGGCGGCAUGCCUUACACAUGCAAGUCGAACGGUAACAGGUUAAGCUGACGAGUGGCGAACGGGUGAGUAAUGUAUCGGAACGUGCCCAGUCGUGGGGGAUAACUGCUCGAAAGAGCAGCUAAUACCGCAUACGACCUGAGGGUGAAAGCGGGGGAUCGCAAGACCUCGCGCGAUUGGAGCAGCCGAUAUCAGAUUAGGUAGUUGGUGGGGUAAAGGCCUACCGAGCCUACGAUCUGUGGCUGGUCUGAGAGGACGACCAGCCACACUGGGACUGAGACACGGCCCAGACUCCUACGGGAGGCAGCAGUGGGGAAUUUUGGACAAUGGACGCAAGUCUGAUCCAGCCAUGCCGCGUGCGGGAAGAAGGCCUUCGGGUUGUAAACCGCUUUUGUCAGGGAAGAAAAGGUUCUGGUUAAUACCUGGGACUCAUGACGGUACCUGAAGAAUAAGCACCGGCUAACUACGUGCCAGCAGCCGCAGUAACAC